rnacentral:rRNA from 1 species
UUAUCCGGAAUUAUUGGGCGUAAAGCGUCCGCAGGUGGACAUACAAGUCUGCUGUCAAAGUGCAGAGCUUAACUCUGUAAAGGCGGUGGAAACUGUAGGUCUUGAGUAUGGUAGGGGUAGAGGGAAUUCCCGGUGUAGCGGUGAAAUGCGUAGAUAUCGGGAAGAACACCAGUGGCGAAAGCGCUCUACUGGGCCAUAACUGACACUGAGGGACGAAAGCUAGGGGAGCGAAAGGG